AAUCGUCUUCCUUCAAUUCAAUGUCCUUCCAAAGUUAGGUUGCAACUGAAGCUCAUAACUCUCACGUACGAGAAAAUGCCGCAGAUUUUAGGCGCGCGCACAACCUGGCAAGUUUCCUUCGGAUUUUCCGAUCAAUUUCUCUCGUCGAUGGAAAAUCUGCAUCGUUUUCGAAGCUUCUUUAAUUGGAGGAAGAAGAAGAAGAAGAACCAGGCCGGAGCAUUCGUCGAAAUAAUAACAAAUGGCUGCGGGAAAACGUCACCGGAGAAUUGCGUCUGCCGGCCGGCGGUCGGGGGAAACAGAGACAUUGUCAUCGUCGGUGCCGGAGUAGCUGGCGCGGCUCUUGCUUACACUCUCGGCAAGGAUGGUCGAAAAGUACAUAUCAUUGAAAGGUUCUCCAGAGAACCUGAUAGAAUGGUUGGAGAGUUGUUGCAACCUGGAGGCUAUCUGAAGUUGAUUGAAUUGGGUAUAGAGGAUUGUGUCAAGGAUAUUGAUGCACAGAAGGUGCUUGGAUAUGCACUUUACAAGGAUGGAAAGAACACCAAAUUGGCCUAUCCUUUGGAAAAUUUUGAUUCUGAUGUUUCAGGAAGAAGCUUUCAUAAUGGAAGGUUCAUACAAAAGUUGAGGGAAAAGGCUACAUCUCUACCAAAUGUAAAGUUGGAACAAGGAAUAGUGACAUCAUUGCUUGAAGAAAAUGGCAUUAUUAAAGGAGUGCAGUACAAAACUAAAGUUGGUCAAGAGCUGAAAGCUUAUGCACCUCUAACUAUAGUUUGCGACGGAUGCUUUUCAAAUUUGCGGUGCAGCCUUUGCGAUCCUAAGGUUGAAAUUCCUUCAUGCUUUGUUGGCCUAAUCUUGGAGAACUGCAAUUUGCCAUAUGCAAAUCAUGGACAUGUUAUCUUGAAAAAUCCAUCUCCUAUCUUGUUUUAUCCUAUAAGCAGCACUGAAAUACGGUGCUUAGUUGAUGUCCCAGGCCAAAAAGUACCUUCAGUUGCCAAUGGUGAAAUGGCUAACUACUUGCGGACAAUUGUCGCCCCUCAGGUGCCUCCUCAGCUGUAUAAUUCCUUCAUUGCUGCAAUUGAAAAGGGAAAAAUCAAAAGCAUGACAAACAGAAGUAUGCCUGCUGCACCCCAUCCGACUGCCGGUGCCCUUCUGAUGGGUGAUGCAUUGAAUAUGCGGCAUCCUUUAACUGGAGGAGGAAUGACUGUGGCUCUUUCUGACAUUGUUAUACUCCGAGACCUUCUUCGACCAUUGCAGGAUUUGGAUGAUGCUGCUGCAAUAUGCAAGUAUCUUGAAUCCUUCUACACCCUCCGAAAGCCAUUGGCUUCCACAAUAAACACAUUGGCAGAAGCCUUGUAUAAGGUCUUCUGUGCAUCGCCUGAUCCAGCAAGGAAGGAGAUGCAACAAGCAUGUUUCAACUAUCUAAGCCUUGGAGGCGCAUUUUCAUCUGGACCAAUAUCUCUACUCUCUGGUCUAAAUCCUUGCCCUUUCAGCUUAAUUUUUCAUUUCUUUGCUGUGGCCGUUUAUGGCGUUGGGCGGCUGUUGCUUCCAUUUCCUUCACCGAAGCGCUUAUGGCUCGGAGUGCGACUUAUCUAUGUUGCAUCAAGCAUUGUUUUCCCCAUAAUUAAGGCUGAAGGAGUUAGACAGAUGUUUUUCCCCUCCACUGUGCCUGCAUAUUACAGGGCUCCUCCUGCCAGAAAGAUGGAAGACCAAAAAGAUCAGAAAAAAACCUGUUAAAAGCUAGGACAAAGGAAGAAGAGCAAAACCAGCAAGCAAAGUGGCAUGAAAAUGGAGAUUUAUGUAGCAAGAGCCAUGGGAGAAGUGAUGUGGUCAUUGUUCGUGAAGGUGAAGGUGUUGCUGGUUCUGGUCUUGGCAAGGAUGGGCGUCGUGUGCAUAUUAUCGGUCAAGAUUUAACAACACACAAUAGAAUGAUCAAGGAAGUGCUUCAGCCAGGAGACCGUCUGAAAUUACUUGAGUUGGGACUCGAAGAUUGUGUGUUGGAUAUUGAUGCUCAACAAGUUUUUGGAUAUGUCAUACACAAGCAUGGGAAAUAUGUUCGGCUGCCUUAUCCCUUAAACAGCUAACAAUUCAAAUGUGACAGGAAAAAGCUUCCACAAUGGCCUCUAUGUACAAAGACCAAGAGAAAAGGCUGCAUCUCUUCCCAAGUAUUAUCUCUUAACUGUCAAAAUUGCACAACUUACAUUGUUGCUUCAUAUAUCUGUUGGGAGAAUCGUUUUUCUUACCCUACAUGAUAUUUUUCGUUUUAAACCCAAGUUUCAUGAACUUAGUUUUAGAUUCUACCUGAAAUGUUUCGUACGAGUGAAGAUAUUGUCCUUACUUAUAAAUUCACGAUCCUUUCCAAAUUCUAAUCGAUAGAGGACUUUGAUGGCACCCUUAAUAAUGUCUUCCCUCAGCAUGGAAUUCAAGCAGGGAACUAUCCUAGGCCUACUAAAGCAGAAGGAGACAAAAAAAUGAUUAGGAAAUGGUACCGCGUGCAGAUCUCAGUCAUAUGCGACGGGUGCUACUCGAACAUAGGGCGGUUUAUGUGCAACCAUAAGAGAGCUACAAAUUGUAUUUUUAAGACGUUGAAGAUGAAGGCUGGUGGAGUAGUGAAAAUGUCCCUUCCAAGAAAAAGAAAGAGAGAUCAAGCCUUUUCGCUUAUUGAAUGAAUUUUCCAUCUUCUAGUUUUUGCUCUAAAUUUUCUUAACAAAAAAUGUAGCAAUUUAGUAUACAAAAAUGGUAUCAACUCUUGUAAGUACAAAUAUUUUUUUAAACUAUUUCAACUCUUCUUACCAAAAAAAUGAUAAAUUAAGAGAUGUGGGGUGGGACUAUUUUAUCAGGUCUCAAUAGAAGCAUAAAGCAAAAUUAUA